AAAAGUUUGUUUGGGUUUUUCCAUACCAUCUUAUGAAAAACCUGAAUGAACAUUUUGGCCAACU
ensembl:miRNA